GGGACCGUGGGGUAGCGGUAUCCUCGGCGCAUGGGGUGCGUCGGACUCGAGUUCGAAUCUCGACGGUCCCA
rnacentral:tRNA from 7 species